CUUUUGCUGCAUAACACUACCUGGUAAUUUGACAUACCAGGUGGUUAGUAACUACUGACUGCCUCCAGGUUGCAACACAAUUAUUACCCACUUGGGUGAAAAGAGAAGACAGGAAAUAAAUAUUGGAGUCGGCUGGCAACCUGUUUACAAAGCAAUUUACAACAGUUCCUUAUUCUUAAGGGGUUAUUCUAAUGUAAGACCUCAGAGAAACAGUGCAGUGUGACAAAGGAGGAAUUUAUCAAAGGAGACAGAAAAAGCAUCAAGGCAAGCUGUGAAAUGGUGCAGUAGGAACCAAAUAGAGAGCCAAAGGAUCUCUCUGUCACUGCAGGCCCUUAGGUGCCUGACAUGAGAAUCACAGCCUUGGCGAGAAAACAGCCGCUGCAGGGAGUGGUGGCCACAGUACUCUCGGUAUCCCUCCCCUGCGUCCACUUCCCACCACCCCUCGGAGGGGCCAGCACACACGACAGUGACCGGGGCAUGUGGCAAGAGCGUGUGAGAGAAUAUCUACCCUGAGGCAUGAAAACACGGCUUCCGCUCGGCUGUUUCCCAGCUUGGUUUCUUAGAAAUCUAUGUCAUUAUCUUUCUGCUGGGAUUGUCAGACCUGAUUUUGAGAGCAUUUAAAACCUGACCCCUGAUGGAGCCUCUAAAA
rnacentral:antisense_RNA from 1 species